rnacentral:rRNA from 1 species
CCUACGGGUGGCAGCAGUGGGGAAUAUUGCACAAUGGGGGAAACCCUGAUGCAGCGACGCCGCGUGAGCGAUGAAGUAUUUCGGUAUGUAAAGCUCUAUCAGCAGGGGAGAAGAUGACGGUACCUGACUAAGAAGCCCCGGCUAACUACGUGCCAGCAGCCGCGGUAAUACGUAGGGGGCAAGCGUUAUCCGGAUUUACUGGGUGUAAAGGGGGUGUAGACGGGGACGCAAGCCAGAUGGGAAAGCCCGGGGUUCAACCCCGGGACUGCAGUUGGAACUGUGUGGCUGGAGUGUCGGAGAGGUAGGCGGAAUGCCUGGUGUAGCGGUGAAAUGCGUAGAUAUUAGGAGGAACACCAGUGGCGAAGGCGGCCUGCUGGACGAUGACUGACGUUGAGGCUCGAAAGCGUGGGGAGCAAACAGGAUUAGAUACCCUAGUAGUC